UCCAGCGAAGCCAGCCGCCAGCCGCCCGCGAAGCCCUAGCCGCCGCAACCGAGCCCCUAGCCGCCGCCUCCUUGAUUCAGUUUCGUGCAAGCAACUGAGAUCUGAACCCUAAGAUCUCGAGAAGUGACUGAUUCCCAAAUCUAGAUCCAGAUCUACUUCUGCAAAAACCUAAGGUGAGGACUUGGUUGUGAACUUGCCUCAUGUGGAGUAACCAAUGGGACUUAGUCCUUUGUUAAUCAGAUCUAGAUCUUGUGUGUAUGUGUGAUGUGAUAUGUGAUUGAUCUUGUUUAGACGAUAGUACGUGUUGAAGUGAUAAGAACGUAGGCAUGUUAGGGUGGUCAAGAAAAUGAUGAUAAGAUGUUUAGACGUGAUGUGAAUGAUAAGUGAAAGAUGUAUGUAUAAGUAUGAAAUAAGGGAUCAUAUAGAGAGUCUAAGGAAAGUAUGGGUGGCAGUAGUUCCACGCUAGGUAUCCAUAGGAGUUGUGGCGAAUCCACAAGAAUAUGAAAGCACCCAUAGGAGAUGUGGCGAAUCCACAAGAAUAUGGGGUAGAAGCCUAGUAGGAGCUACCCACUGAUGAUAAGAAACGAAGUGCCAACCGCGAGAGGCGGGAUAUAAAAACGUGCAUUGUAGGGUCUUUAGCUCAUGGUCGGGUAGUUGGGUUUCUGUGUAAUAGAUCUUAUUAGCUCAUGACUUGUGAUUGUUUGCUCUUCCUGAGUUGAGAUCGUGGGUUCCCAGAAUCUGCCCUCACUGAGUAUUCUAUACUCACCCCUCUUUUUACAGGUAUGGCCGAGAGGGAGCGGGAGUAGAUGUCCGUAUGGUGCAAGUGUUUUCUCGAGUCUUUCAUUUAUGACUCCUUUCUUUUUAAACAUUUUUUCCUUAAGUUUUCAUUUGACAUUUCAGUUUUUAGUUGAGUUCGGUUUUAUGUAAGACAAUUUGAGUUUUAAUAAGAAGUUUUGAACAAAAAGGUUUGGGUUAUGGUAUCUGAUAAGGUUCAUCGGGCCAGGACCGUUACAGAUGUGAUCAUAAAGAUGAACUUGGAAGGAAAUAAUGGAAGAAACUUGCACUCGGGGAGGAGACUGAUGAAGAAACAGAGAAUGUUUAUGCGGUUAAAUCAAAUGAUACCAAGCUAUAAGCUUAUCCCUGAGGAAGAACGGUGUUUGUCAAGUAUGAGGUAGUGAACAACAAGUAUUCUCUGUUAAAAAAAAAUAUUCUCUGAUGAAUUGAAGAGUUCGAACAUAAGAAGCUAACCGAGUACGAAGAAGCAAUGACGAAGAGCGAAAAUGAGAUGAUUGAGGCUGAUAGGUUGAUGGAACGUAUGAUAAGUUCAGUGGAGAAACUGGAGAUCAGGGUUAUAAAGGGAGAGAUGAAAGGGAGAAGACUCUGAUGAAUCGUUUAUAACAUAUUGCUCAACCCCUCGAGGAAAUCAGAGGACACUCAAAGCACAAGAAAUGAAAUACUGACAAAGAAUUGGGAGAUUGCACAACAUUUUAGAAAUCAGUAACAGAUAUAUACAAGACAUCAAACUAAAGUAAGGCUUUCUAGAGUAUUGCUAUGAAAGAAGAAAGAGGCUCUAAUACAAGGAAAAAAUUUGUGUCCAUAAUCUAUCAGUCAAAUAGGAUAAAAAGUGAACUGCAACCUCAACCUGGGCCAGGUUAUAAUCAUGCACAUCCACUGAAGGGAAUCCAUCAAUGUCUGAUGGAAGUUAAAGAAGAUAGUAACAAAAAUAAAGAAACAAACCAUAGAAUUCCGCAAACCCAGAGCAUGCAUGAAAUAAAAGGCAGAGAGGGACUUGGUAAUUUUGAUUCAGAAAACGAAUAAGCUAAGAGUAGUAGAGAAGAACUGAAUACAAGCAUCACAAGAUGGCAGCGCUUACAUACCUCAAGUCCCUCAUCCUGUUUCCAAGCAAUGCUACGACUAUUAUACAUGUUUUCAUAAGUAUAGAGCACUAUUUAUCGGGGUAGAAAUGAACUCUGCUGCGACGCAAGCCAAAAAGACAAGCUCCAGUCUUUAAAUGAAAAGGACCAUGAGCUUUAUCCUAGACAUAGAAAGAAAAAAACUAAGCGUACUUACUAGGAGCAUAAGAACAACAGAUAAAGAGGGAUACAACAAUCACCUACUCAGUUCCAAAGUUGGGUACUUCUUGUGCGAUAUUAUCCAGAAUUUGUAGAGUAGAACUAACAUUAUGAUACUUUGACAAAGCUUCAGUUCCCCGAGGUAGAAGAUUAGGCCUGCCAGCAAUCUUCAAAACAAACACUCUACAUUGGAACUCUAGAAUCAAAUCAAAAUACUCAAACACUCUACAUAGGAUGUCUUAAAAAAUUUGGAAUGCAUUUGUAGAACAUUACUCCAAAGUUUUGUAUCACAUUAAUUCCAUGCAAGGUGCCGGUAAUGCAUGUGUAGAACAUUUUUUUUUUUUUUGCUAAGACUGUUAAUUUCAUUAGAUGAUAAGAGAUUGUUCUACAAGGGUAGUAAAUCUAUACAAAAGAGGCUCUGGCAAAAAAAGAAGGUAAAAAACAGAGCAACUUUAACACGGCUUGAGACAUCACCAUGAACAUGUCAAGUGAUUUUUGCUGGGCAGAGAAGGGUCAGAUGAGCCAUCUUGCCAUUAAGUUGGUGAACUUCUUACGCUUUCGAAAAGCAUAAAUAGAACUGAUGAUAUGUCGAUCAAUUUCCCGGAAUGUUGCUGUAGGGGGGACUAAAGCUUGAUUGUGUAGCAUGUUUUUUCUUUGCUUCCAGAUGUUGUAAAACAAUGCUUGAACUACCAUCAUACGCAGGUGUGAUGGCGCAGCAUUAGAAGACGACGAUGUCCACAGCACGAGCUCGGGCCAGUUGGUGAAGACUGGGACCGUGUCUCUGAAUCUGCGGCGAGAUUCAGACCAAAGGACCUCAGCAUACGGACAAGAGAGCAUUAGAUGGUCCCUAGUUUCCGGCUGAGUAGAACAGAUGCAACAUGUGUAGAACAUUACUCCAAGGUUUUGUAUCAGAUUAAUUCCAUGCACGUAACGUUACACUUUUGUAUCAGAUUAACUCCAUGCACGUAACAGUAACGUAUUUCUCACCAUUAUACAUAUAAUAUAGGUAUAAUAAAGAACUCCCAAUUGUCUUAACUUUAGUGAAGAAACCUUCCAAAACAUGUCGCAUAAUCUCAUUAAUUAAUAAAAUGGUCUCAUAAGUCUCGAACUUAUGAGCAAUAAAUAUUAGAGUAGUUACCAAGCAAUUAUUUGUUACAUAUAUAGAAAUAUAGUUGAUCCUUAUUGAUAGGAGAUUGUUUAAAUCUCACAAUAAAGGGAUAUACGAUUCUAUAAAGUUUUUUUUUUUAGAAAGUGCUUACGAUUUUACAAGGUUACCUUAAAAUAUGUAAUAAUAUUAUCUCCGUAUAUCUUACUAAUAAAUAUCGUAUAUUCUGUAGCCUCUGUAUAUAAGGAUGACAUGAGUAAACUUCAUAUUCACAGCUCUACAGCAUCAGAAAAAAUGAUACUUUGAUACUAUUUUCGAAGAAUUAUGGCCCUUAUGUCUCUGAUUUGAAACCAUUCAAAUCAAUGUAGAAGAUUAUGGUGAAGAUUAAACGUUUUGUGGAAGCAGUAUUCUGCUGCUGGUGGCCUAACUAUUGAGAUGGUUCUAAUCGACUACAUAACGUAAGUGUCCCUUAAUCUUCAUAUUACUAAAUUAUAUAAAGAAACUGUUUUCGGUUGAGUUAUUUAAGUUGUGACUGUCUUUUUAUUUAUUUGUAGGAUGUUAAGAUUCAUUGAAAAAGCCAGGAAUAUUGAACAUAGAGAAACAAAAAGAAAUUUUGGUGAUGGUCCUAAAAUCGUGAAUAAGAUCUAAUUCGAUCAAGUGAGAUCUAAAUCUGCGGACGAAACCAUAAGCCCCUUUCAAUUCUCGGUGUUUGAUGGUAAAGACUUUUUUUUUUUGUUAUAGCAAUCAUGUACACGUUUUAGAAUCCCAUGUUUUUUUUUGUUUUUUCUGCAGGUCCAAUUGAAAAAUAUUAGUUGAUCGAUUAAAGGUUAAAGUUUAAAAUUGUUUGGAGCAAAGAAAAACAGACACCAAAGACUAAAAUGCAGCAUGCAUAAUUAUAUAUGUUGUAUCUUUAUAAUGUGUUUUACAAUUUGAUAGAUCUUUAUAUAAUAAGAAUAAAACAAAUUACUCUAUUACCUAAAACUAGAUAGCAAAAACAAUAAUCUCUCUCCGCGCUAAGUGCGGGUUACUACUUAAUACUUCCAGAUGUUUGUGAAGAGUCUUAGUAGACAUGCCUUAGCAUGGUUCUCGAGACUCAAGGUUAAAACUAGAUUUUAUUAUUUAUAAUACAUGUAGAAAAUAUAUAUAACAAUUAAAUACUGUUUAAUCUGUAUUCGGUAUGAUCGUUAGGAGUGUUUCGAGAAUGAUUAUAAGUUUUCAUGAAGACCUUUUAUUGAUCAUUUGGGGAAUAUGUUUGAUACCACUCAAAUUAUCUUAAGGAGUGAAUUACUCUUUCAAAUAAGAGGUUUAGUUGCAGUACUUAGGGAUCAGAUCCACAAGAAGCUAAGGAACCUAUUAAAUCUAGUCAGGUUAUUAAUUUUAGAUGUUUGUUGUUUUAUGGUUUAAAAGUAAAUAGUAAUUCUAAUUGAGCAAGUCUAUUGCUCGACUAACAAGAUAAUUGGGGGUGUAACUUUAUUGGAAGAUAUUAGAUGCAUGGUUUCUAUUCAGGUGUUAGAGAUUAUAAUCUUAUAGAUGCUUAACAAUUGCAUGCAUAAUAUAUUAGAGCUCAACUCCUUAAUCACAAUGAUCAGCGACAGCAAUGUUUAACUGGUUAACUAACUAGAUCUUGGAUCUCAACUGUCAUCUUUUGAUCACAAGAAAGUGUCGAUCGAUGAUCCUAUAUGGAUAUCGAUCGAUACACCUUUCGCAAUAUCGGUCGAUUGUCAGAAGAGAAUAUCGAUCGGUAGCUUCUAGCUAAGCCCUAGCCGUGGGUUGAUAAUGCUCACUUGUCUCCUAGAUCAGCAGUUAGCUCUCUCUACCAGGGUUAGCAUGACAUAUUAGAUUCAGGACAGGAUGAUCAAGGAUGCUUGACACAUGCAAAUUUCUAGGUUCAUGUUCUAGUUAGCAAGACUAAAACAAGCAUUAAGAACAAUCAAUCAAUGAAUAUCACAACUCAGAAAAUCUAUAGUUGGGGCUAAUCCCUCUAACCUAUUUGAACCCUGAAUCUAACAACUAAACUACUCAGACAUAGCUAAGCAAUUCAUGACACAAAAUAUAGAUAAAAACUGCAUAGAAUAGAAUAGAUGAAUCAAUGGAGUUCCAAUCACAAAUCUCUCUAUGAUUUUCUCUCCUAAAACUCUCUCUCGCUCUCUUGCUGAAAGUAAGAAUACAAUGGUGGCUAAAAACUCUCCUUGCCUCCUAACACUUAGGCAAGUAUAUAACUAUUAGGUAAAACUCGUCAGGGGUAAUCCUGUAAUUUGGUGAAGCCUUGGGUUUAAAGUCGGCUGGAACCAAGUCGCGCAUCUUGCGUCUCGACAUCGAUCGAUGGUACAGGAUGUACAUCGAUCGAUCAUAAUCUUCAAUCGUCGAGGCUUAUCUUAUGUAUCGAUCGACGGCAUUGGAUGUGCAUCAAACGAUUGCUUCUUCUUCGUAUCGACCUCUAAUGGUCAGCUCGGAUGAAAUGUCUUUUAAGCUCUUAAAUGCUUCAUAAUCAUCACUUUACUCCAAGAUACUCCUGAACCUGAAAAAAUACCUAAUAGGAUUGAAUAUAUAAUAUAUAGAUAGUAGAACACUUAUAUACUAUGGAUGAAAAUGGGUCAAAUCCAUGGUAUAUCAAUGUUACAAGAUAUGUUCGAGAUGAUGAACUAAAGAGAGCUAGACUGUUUUCUUUGAGAAUAGUGAUCGAAAUGAUAAAUCCUAGUUCUAGCCGUUGUUUACGGUCAUGCCCAUUUUUUUGGAUCCCCUCUUUCUUGUCCUUUCCUCUCUUAUUAUAUUUGUCCUUGUAGAACUCUCCAAUUCACCAUUGACUUAAUCGACCAGUCCCAGUCUUCUUGGAUCGAAUUGUUUGUUAAUAUUGGACCGAGAUUUGUAUUUGAUGGACCUUGAUGAGGGGUGUCCCCCUCUAACAAAUACUAUUUAUAUAUUUUUGAUUUUUUUUUACAGCAAGAAUAUUUACAGACUCAUGUACACUCUGUAAACCAAGGUGGUAACUCUGCUUCCAUGUGUACAACGAGAGACGGUUGUGUCUGAGCACUGUGUGCCAAGCGAUCCGCCUUUAUGUUUUUUGUCCUAGGAACAUGAACAAUUUCUGAGUUGGUGAAGCUCCUUCUCAAAAACUUAAUAUCCUCCAGGUAGCUUUCAAAUUCUGGCUAUUCUUCUGGUUCCGAAACCAUCUUCACCAAUUAAGAACAAUCCUUUGCAAACGUGACCUAGUACUGUCUUAAGUUCUUCAUGCAUUCCAUUGCCCAAAUUAAUGCCUCCAUCUCCGCAUGAAGAGGUGAGAGACUUGCCCCUAACAAACCCUCAUACCCUGGUAGCGUGCUGAACCAGCCUUGUCCUGAAAAAGAAUCCUUAUCUUUCCAAAAACCGUCAGUGAAACACCAUCUUCCAGUAGUCUCUGAGGUAGCUCUGAUCUGUGCUUCCGGUGCCAACCUUGUAUUAUUGAUAACCUGUGCCUCAGCCCAAAGUGUUGAUUCCAAUUUUUCUAAGUUAAGCGUUUUCCUCGGAUCAAUAUCAAUAUUACUGAAAACUUUAUUAUUCCGACCCUUCCAGAUGUACCAUAGGAUCCAUGCAAACUGAUAAUCCUCCAUUUUUGGAUUAACUCUCCAAAACAGAUGAUCCAUAUUAGAAAAUAGAGAGCCAAUAGGAAAAAUGUUUGGGUUCAAUGGAAUCUUAGAUAGUGUCCACACUUUACGUGUCAGAGGACAUUCGAAGAACACAUGAUUUAUUGAUUUCUCCGGGUCCCCACACCAUGCACAACUUGUAUCUCCUUGUAUUCCUCUUGAUUUUAGUUUUUUUUUUGUCACUGUUAUACAACCUGUCAGCAGCUGUCAUAAAAAAUGCCUUAACUUUGGAGGACACUUAACUUUCCAGCAGAAUUUCUUAAAUUUGUCCAUAUUGUGUCCAUAAAAUUCUGGUGGUUUUUCCUUAUCAGGAUAUAUCCUUUCAAUUUGAUACCCUGAUUGUACCGUGUAUCUUCCAUUAUUAGUGAAAUGUCAUCCAUUCCUAUCAUCCAUCUGAUUUUUACUUAGAAAAAUACUUUCAAUCAUUUUUGCAUCGUGGAGUUCCACCAAAUCCUAAGUGUCUGUAAAUUCCAUGUUCGGGAUUCAUUUUUGAUUUUCAAUUGAAUGGAAUUAAAAUAUAUUUGGCAACAUAUUAAAUUUAUUAAAAUAUUAAUAUUAUUUUAUUUUCUAGUUAUAUUAAUAUAUAUAUAUAUAUAUAUAGUAGUUCCACGCAAAGCAUAAAUCACGUGAAGUAUGCAUCACACAAAAGAAUAGAAAAUUGUUCAUUGACUUGUUCGCACUAGUCAUUUUUUUUUCCUAAUUUGAUAGCCACAUCUAUUUUUAUUUUACGUUGAGUAUAAUUCUUAUAUAAGUUUUUUUUAACUACGAAAUCUUAUAUAAGUUAUUUCUGAAAAAGAAUACAAUGUAUUUCAUAGGAGAGUAAAUAAGCAAUACUUUUUGCAACUCAAAAAUAAGUUUUUGAAUCAUGGAAAAAUGUGUUUUAUGUUUUAUAUUGUUUCUUGCAAUUUUCAUUGUGGCCCAAGUUGAAGAAGUGGAAGCCGUGAACAAGUUGGCGUGCCGCUUUACUGAUCGCUGGUACAAGGGAAAAUGCGGGAAUAACGGAAAUAGUAUUUGUACAAGGGAAGUGAAGGAGUUCAUAGCCAAACAUCCAGACGUAAGUAAGAGCGUUCUAGGUGAGAUGCGUUGUAAUUGUACUGACAUUCCAGUCAAGGCAAAUGAGGAAAUCAGACGUGAAUGCAGCUGUAGAUAUGAUUGCAAUUUUCACUAAAUAAAAUACCUACAACCAUGUACUCAAAUGAAGGAAAAAGAUUCUGGAGAUUUUAACAUUUUAACAUCGAUUUGAUCAAUUAUUUUUUUUGUAAAUAUUAGUUUUUAUAUUGCCAAAAGAUCAAUUUGUAUAUUUUUUUAAAUUAGUUAUAAUGGGCAACUAACACCUAAAAAUUAUAAUUGUCAACUAAUGAUAUAUCUUGUUUUUCUAAUAAUAAUAUCACUAAAAAUCAGUCUUCAAUACUAGGUUGAUGCGCCUUGCGCGGGAUGGACAUUAUACAUGAAUUAUUUUAUGCAUUAUAUAUAUUUUACAUAUUAUGAAAUACUAAAUAUAUAUUGAAUAAUAAAAAAGUCAGUAACUAUUACGAUAUAUUAAAAGUGGUUCAAACAUAUAAAUAAAUUUUAUUAAUCCAAACAUAUAAAUAAAUUUUACAAAAACUUUUUUAGUGCUAUCCUUGGGUAUUUCCCUAAUAUGAUUUUUUAAUUUAUUUGAAUAGAUUAAACUUAAACAAAUAUUGAUAAAAGAUACAGUAAUCUUUAUCAAAUCCUUACACUACAAGAAAACACAAUUUUAACGACGAAAAAAUGACGAAAAAGGUCCUCGUAAAAUUACGUUGUCUUGACGAGUAUCUUACGAGGAAAAAAUAAAUCAACGUAACUUUGUCGUAAAAUAACGACAAUAAAGUUUUGUCGUAAAAAUGACGCAAUUUAUUGUGGUAAAGUAGGCAUAAAUAUAACGAGGACUUUACGACGAAAUAUUUUACGUCUAUUUAGCAUCGAUAUCUCGAGUGCACCAACUUUUUAGUUGUAAACACGUUUUUUUGUUUCGGCUAGCUGACUAUAUUUCCUUGUAAAUUUUUAGUAAAAUUUCACCUAACAGGUUCAAAAAUUUCCUAUAAAUAUGUCCUUUGUGUAUCAUUUGAAACACACCAAAAA